rnacentral:rRNA from 1 species
UACGAAGGGGGCUAGCGUUGCUCGGAAUCACUGGGAGUAAAGCGCACGUAGGCGGCUUGUUAAGUCAGGGGUGAAAUCCUGGAGCUCAACUCCAGAACUGCCUUUGAUACUGGCAAGCUUGGAGUCCGGGAGAGGUGAGUGGAACUGCGAGUGUAGAGGUGAAAUUCGUAGAUAUUAGGAAGAACACCAGUGGCGAAGGCGGCUCACUGGCCCGGUACUGACGCUGAGGCGCGAAAGCGUGGGGAGCAAACAGG